rnacentral:rRNA from 1 species
AUUGAACGCUGGCGGCAGGCCUAACACAUGCAAGUCGAACGAGUGGCGGACGGGUGUGUAAUGUAUGGGAAACUGCCUGAUGGAGGGGGAUAACUACUGGAAACGGUAGAUAAUACCGCAUACCAUCAGAUGUGCCCAGAUGGAAUUAGCUAGUUGGUGGGGUAACGGCUCACCAAGGAGACGAUCCCUAGCGGGUCGGAGAGGAUGACCAGCCACACUGGGACUGAGACACGUCCCAGACUCCUACGGGAGGCAGCAGUGGGGAAUAUUGCACAAUGGGCGCAAGCCUGAUGCAGCAACGCCGCGUGGAUGAAGAAGGCCUUCGGUUUGUAAAGUACUUUCAGCGGGUAGGCGUUACCCACAGAAGAAGCACCGGCUAACUCCGUGCCAGCCGCCGCGGUAAUUC